GGGUAACUGACACAUUUGCUGAAACCCAUGAAGGUGACAUCUCCUUUGAAAUAAUCCAGAUUAUUCAUUUGCAUGUGAAGACACAAACUAAAGACUUAGCUGACUGUCCCCCAUGAAGUGGCCCUCUACAAACUAGAACAGUGACAUCUGUUAAAUGAAGCCCAAAUUCCUUUUCUUCCAGGCUUUCAUGGAAGUCUGCCUAAAGGAAGAACAGCUGAGAAACCGCCCCUGAGAUUCCUCCCCCAGAAUCUGAGUAACCACCUCAGAAGGCAGGCGGGUGAAUCACUGAGCCCACAGCGCUCUCCUUGGGGGGGUGCGACAGGCGCGCCAGAAACGCCUCACACUUUACAUUCUGCAAGUGCAGUUGAGCUGAAUCAUUGACUAAUGACUAACCUGCCCUGCCCUGUACCCAAGGCGCCCAAAUUGCCGAUGAGCUAACUGUUGGCCAGGUGCACACGACUAAGAGAAAUCAUACUUCUGCUAAGCAGCCGUCACCUGAACAUUUAAUUGCCUGGAGAAAGCUCCAUCAGGAAGAGUUGUGUGUGCCCUCUUUGACAAAUCCAAGCACAGACAGAGACAAGGUCGGACGUGUCUUUAUCCAUCAGAGAUUGGCACCGCCACAUCAAGGUGCACAAGGCAUCUAUCCGACGCCAUUCCCUUGGUAGGCUGUAAUUCACAGUUGCAUCUUUACCACCUGAAUCUCCAGUGCCUCGCACGAAGUCUGACGUAUAAUCACAUACUCGAGGUUCAAAGUACUGUUGAGUGAAUUAAUGAACACAGGUAACUCACUUUGUUUUCAGUCCCAUCAAUUUCUCUCCAUGCUAAUUUUCACAAUUAAAAUUUUCUGCCUCUCCAGCUGAAACUGAAGCUUGCUUUGUUCUCAGUCUUUGGGGAGGCCAAGACCAAAUGUACCUUUCUCUGUUCAUAAGAGAAAUAUUGCCAUUUGGGGAAGUUGCGUGAAUACCUUUCCCUAACCUUCUUUCCCCCGGCUCCCCAAUCUAAUCGCCAUUUAAGGAAUAACACUUUGGGUAGCCAAGUAUCAGUCCCAACAAAAGGGGGAAACUCAAAAAUUUAUGUAUUAGAUUUCCAGAUGUGGACAACUCUUGUUUUUUGCCUAACUGGUGCUGACAAUUUAUGGUUGUCUUUGGAAAAUCAUUUGAUAAUGAUCCAACUAUCUAGAACCUCUUUAUUUUAGGCCUGUUAAAAGAAAAGAAAGUUAUUACCCAGGAAAAUUUCCAGACUGCCAUAAAAGAAAAGUGAUCGCUGCCAAGAACCAUCUGCCAUAAAACCUCCCCUAACAGCUUCUUACCUUUAUGUAUCUGUAAAGUACCCUUUUUUAAAAUGAGGCAAAGCCAUCAAUCAAUUCUUUUAAGGCUAAUUACAAAUGUUUAAUACAGAAAUUAAAUAUUACAAAAUGUGAAAGAAGGUGUGUGGCAUUCUCGAAUUAAAUGCGGGCAUCUCCUGGAGAGGAAUGGAAGCUGUAGACCCACUGGGGGCACUUACCGGUCACCUGGCCCCUCAGCGUCCAUAGGGGCGUGGGGGGGGGGGUGACACUGACUAUAAAGGGUUUGUAUGAGAAUCAUAUGAGACAAGAGCAGUGAGAACACUUUGAAAGGGUAAAAAUGGUAUAAAAAUAAAACAUGUAGCCAUUCUUAAUGAGAGAAAACA
rnacentral:lncRNA from 12 species